CGAGUGAGUAAGUUCAACCAACAGUCUUCGGAGAAUUCCUUUGCACAUGCGAUUUCUUUACCGGAUGACGCCGAACUCAAAAAUGGGCAUUCAUGCUGUUGUCCUUCAAACUCCUUGGCAACCUGAACGGCCUGCUUUGAAAUGACAACUGCACAGAGGCGUCCAGUCAGCACGGCCAGGGGGACAUGGGAGCCAAAGUCCAUAGAUGGAGCGUGGACAGUGGCAGCUGCUGCACAGCCCCCACAGCGCGAGGCCAGGCCAGGAGCACAGCUGGCCAGACUUGGUGGAGCCAGUCGACAGGCGCAUGGAGCGCAGCCCGCCCAGGGCCCGCUUCCUCCGCAAACAUGCCCAGAUAUCAAAAAGCUCAAAUGAAACCAAGGACGUGCGACGGAGAAGAAACUGACCGAUGAAAGUUCACAGAAAUGCAGAAAAGAUAAAGAGAGUGAUGGGUACAAUCUGCUGUGUGAUCAUUUACCAAUGAUUUAAACACGAGAGGCAAAUCUCUUCACCUCCUCCGUCAGUCCCAGUCCAGUACUUAAAGUUAAUAAGAUCAAAUUACGUCUAGCUGCAGGAGAGCCUCAAUAUGCCGCACCGACAGAGGAUAAACUGUUUGGAAAGCUACUUUAAUCUAGGCUAACCUUAGUUUAUUUACUCUGUUUUGAUACCACUCUUUGAUAAUUUAACUCAUAACAUUUUUUGGUAUGGACAGUUACUUUUAGAAAAUGUUGUUUUUCUUCUUCAUAACUACUGUUUUACUUUGAAUAUCAUACAACUCAGUACAUGACACAGACCGACACGAAGCUGCUGCAGCCAGUGCACUCUCACUCUCCCCGUGAAUGUCACUGCAACAAAGAGGGUAAAACACAAAAAUCAUCUGGGAAAACUUUAUUGUGAAUGGUCUAAAAUACAAUUUUGCAAGCAAUCUCUGACUGUUCAAAAUGUGAGCGCAACAGACCAUGUUUGACUGUCCAUGCAAUGUUUUUAACUCUGAGAAGCCGUGUUGGUUUCAGACUAUAAAUGUAGCACAACACUCACUUUCCAAAAAGUCACAUUUGUAUUCACAGAUUAUUCUUCUAAAAGGGAUCAAAUGUUUUCCACCAGAUGUGAGAAAGGCCUUCAACGUUCACGCCGGAACUCCUCGCUUCGUCUUGUUCUUCAUUGUUUAAUCCUGAGCGCCGAUGUUAACGAAGGAAGCGAAGUCUGCCGAGUCUGUGCGAGUCGAUGCUGAGCUCUUGCAGUAAUUUUGGAAGAUUGGCCACGCCUGUGGAGGUUCCCUAUUGUUCCAUGUGUUCUCCAUUCGUAAAUAAUGGCUUUCGCUGAAGUUUGUGAUGGCUAUUUCUGCGGCUGUGCCCCAAAGCUGCAGAAACGUCUUUGUAACUUUUAAUAGACUGAUAUUGACAUUGGCUUCUCAUUUUUGCUUGAAUUUCUUAAAUUGAGGGCAUAAAACAUUUUUGCCUACUUCAUCUUGUCAGAGAGGUUCUAUUGAAGUUUGGCAAGAUACUAAAAAUAAACCAAAUUAAACAGAUUUUGUUUGGAUAACUUCAUCCCAGCACUCCAAUGUUUUUGUCCAAUGAUUAAAUCAAAUUGACGAUCUGAAACAUUUAGGGACGAUAAGAAAAAAAAAAAGCAAAAACAAAAGAGGGUUCCAACACUUUCUCCUGCCACUUUUAAGUGUUUGGCUCAAACAGAUGAGAAGGAUUGGGGUUUUAAAGUGUUUGUUUGGAUGACUGCUUCAUAUAAUCCCGCAAACACCCUGAUGUAAAAAUCAGGUGAUAGUUUAUAAAUCCCAAAUCAGCCUGGCGGCGCUCAUGCUGCCGAGCAGAGAACCCUUGAUCCGCUCGUGUAAUCUCUUGACGACAGCUUGGUCAGAGGUCUGCUCCGCGUUCCAGUGGUGCUCCCCUCCCACGGUGCCGAGGUUAAAGCCCAGUUAACCUCAUGCGUUCGACAGCAUUCCAGGGACCGUCAGCUGUUUUUCCCCGCGGCGUCCCGUCGAGCGCCCCGUGCCUCGACGCUGAGAGAGACGAGACGGAGUUGAGGGUUAAGGGGGCAAGCCUGUCGAGAUGUUUCAACAACCAUUUAGUCAAAACCUGUACUCAUGUAGCGUCUGAGAUGGCUGCCAUAACUGGAAAAGGCACCAGGAGUGAGGAGGAGAGCUGUGUUUUGGAGGAUCAGCUGGGAUUUGUGUGUGUGGGACUGUGUAAAUAGGUGUUACAUUUACGGUGUUUGUGUCCACUAAAAACAAGGACUCACUCAUCUGUUCACACAGAGAGCUAAACAGAAGCAUAAAAGGCCUCUUUUUAAUUCACGGCUAAAUGACACGCAGGCAAAUAGACAUACUUAGUUACCACCAGUCCAGUUUUUUUCCCCCCUUCUCUUCACCUGUUUAUUCAGAGGCUGUUUGCCUGUUUGAACAGCUUAGACUUUAGCAUGUUAUGCUAUCGUCCGGUAUUGGGUAUGGAAAUGGAUGCGGGCCUCUCCUCUUUGUGCUCCUGACGCUACGUUGGGUUUGGAUGUGUGCGACUUGCUCAAAAAACUUUGUUUCUCCCUCCAAAAUAACUCUCUCUCUCUCUCUGCUCCAACAAAGUACAAUAAGAAAUCUGGUUUUAAGUGCAUGUUUGUGGUCUGCAUUGCUUACUAUAUAUGGGCCUAGCCUCUUAAGUUCAACGUCUAAUUAUGUGUUGAGCGCUGAUGGGAAAAGGGCUGCGCAGACACACACGCGCACACGUUCAGCAGGAAUCUGUAAUUGUGUGAAUGGAUCCUGGAGUGGAUGUGAAAGUUUUGGGAUGCAGGGUGCAAUUGAAGGAAUGCCCUGGUGCCAGUGAGACUCGGGAGCAGGACGGCAGACGAGCUGCGGUCGAGCUAAAUGAGGAGAGGCGGCUGGGUUUAUGAUGCAGAGCCGCGCUGCUCUCUGUUCUACAGGCGGCUGUACGGUGGGUAUCGUCCAUGUCUUGAGCGGCGCCUACAGUUGAAACCAGAUAUUUACAUAUGCUAAUUAAAAAAAAACAAGCAUUUUUUUUUUUUUUUUUUUUUUUUUUUAAGAUGUUCUGACACUAAGCCAAACUUUUCCUGGCUUAUGUCGGUUAGGAUUACAAAAGCAGGAAACGUCAGAGCAAGAGAAAAAAUUGUUUUAAAAAAAUGUAAUGAAAUUCAGAAGGUUAGGUCGAUUUCCUUAGUAACUGGGUAGGAUUACAACUGUGGGUGUUUUCAUGCCUGAUAGUCCAGUAGACUCGGUUCGAUUAGGGACUAAGAUUGGAACAUUUGCUACAUUUUCACUUGGUGACUUUGGCUUCCAGGCCACACUGUGUCAAAUAAAUCAAACCCUUUGACAAAACCUGUUCCCUCUCUCGCCUGUGGUGGCGCUGCACUGAGAACUACCGAAGGAAACGACACAGAAACCUCAAAAGAAGACACUGACGGAAACUCAAAAGUCAGAUUUUAGCGGCUGUAGUGUUUCUCUUUUGUGUUUGGCGCUCGACAUGCGCAUUUGUUUUGGUUGUAUUUUCCCAAACAAAAUUUCCUCCAGGCAACUUGCUGUUUACAUAUGCAUUCAAACUACACCAGAGUUCAUUUCCGCCGAACCAAGACAUUGGUUUUAAGGCGGAGUUUGGUUGCGCAUUCACAGCGCUCCAAAUGAACCGGACUUUCUUCUCAAAUAAACUAUCCAUCCAUUUUCUUUACACCCCUGUCCCUAAUUUUGUCGGGAGUUGUGCUGGUGUCUAUCUCCAGCGAGACAUUUCGGUCGAGAGGUGGGGUAUACAAAAAUUUUUAAAAUGACAGAAAAUAUCUCAAAAACUUGGCUUUUAUUUAAAUAAUUCCUUCCGUGAUUUGACCUAAAUUCAAAGUCGAAAUUAAUAGGAGCUGCAAAACAAGCUCGUCAAAA